UUGAGUGAGGCUCCUUUCUUGUUUCUCCAGUUCUUGAGAUAUUGGACAUAAUCGUCGGGUCCCUCACUAUCAGAGGAGGUGACAGGACUGGUGGUUAUAUCAUAAUACAUCAGGGCCUUAUCAAUGCCUUUGGAGGUAUGCUGAAAAAAAGGCAUUCUUCAAAUCAAUUACAGAGAAGAACUAGCAUCUGCAGGGAUUGCAGAAAUGAGGACGAUCACUGAAUCGCGGACGUAGCCCCCAGCUGAAAGGAUUUGCCCUUAUAUUCUUAACCCUCGAUGUGAUGGCCUCUUAGACGUCUGGAGUGUGAACUUUUAGCCACAAGGUACAUGCACACACAAGCAGUAGAAAUUCACACUGUUUUAUUGAAUGUUUAACAUUGGUAUAACAAGAGAACACAUAAGGGUGUAACUGAUAAGUGUAAAAGGGCUCAUUGGCUUAGGGGUAGGUGCCUGGGUGGGGUAUGUAGGGGUGGUUAAUACUUGACAUAACAUAAUUGGAUAUAGCAGUUGCUAGGCAGAUGUUAUAUACGUUGCAUCAGACGGAACUUAACAAAGGAUCUUUUAGUAACACACAGAAGUAGAGAAAGCAGGUUUCAUCUAGUAUAGAGCUGACCUUGGAUGCCAGACCCACACAAGCCUGGUAUCUGUAUGAGAGACAAAGGCAUCUAACACAGGGCAGCACGCAUCCAUUGCAAACACAUAAGAGUUCAUAAAGCAUGUUUUAACCCUUCACUAGGGAAAUAGAAAUAUUCACUUUUACACUGUAACUAUUAUAAGGAAAUUGAUCAUAUAAAAAGUAAUAUGUACAAAGACAG